UACGUAGGGUGCAAGCGUUAAUCGGAAUUACUGGGCGUAAAGCGUGCGCAGGCGGUUUUGUAAGUCUGAUGUGAAAUCCCCGGGCUCAACCUGGGAAUUGCAUUGGAGACUGCAAGGCUAGAAUCUGGCAGAGGGGGGUAGAAUUCCACGUGUAGCAGUGAAAUGCGUAGAGAUGUGGAGGAACACCGAUGGCGAAGGCAGCCCCCUGGGUCAAGAUUGACGCUCAUGCACA
rnacentral:rRNA from 1 species